GCCCCCGUGGCUUAGUGGUACAGCGUGUCACUCGUAUUGCAAGAUACGCCAUGACAAGAUCGGGUGUUCGAUUCACCCCGGGGGCA